GAGAAGAACGUAGCGAAAUGCGAUAAGUAGUGUGAAUUGCAGAAUUCAGUGAAUCAUCGAAUCUUUGAACGCACAUUGCGCCCCUUGGUAUCCCGAGGGGCAUGCCUGUUCGAGCGUCAUUUCACCACUCAAGCCUGGCUUGGUGUUGGGCGACGUCCCCUUUGGGGACGCGCCUCGAAACGCUCGGCGGCGUGGCACCGGCUUUAAGCGUAGCAGAAUCUUUCGCUUUGGAAGUCGGGGCCCCGUCUGCCGGAAGACCUACUCGCAAGGUUGACCUCGGAUCAGGCAGGGAUACCCGCUGAACUUAAGCAUAUCAAUAAGCGGAGGA
rnacentral:misc_RNA from 1 species